UACGUAGGGUGCAAGCGUUAAUCGGAAUUACUGGGCGUAAAGCGUGCGCAGGCGGUUGUGUAAGACAGAUGUGAAAUCCCCGGGCUUAACCUGGGAACUGCAUUGGUGACUGCAUCGCUCGAGUAUGGCAGAGGGGGGUAGAAUUCCACGUGUAGCAGUGAAAUGCGUAGAGAUGUGGAGGAAUACCGAUGGCGAAGGCAGCCCCCUGGGUCAAUACUGACGCUCAUGCACGAAAGCGUGGGGAGCGAACAGG
rnacentral:rRNA from 1 species